rnacentral:rRNA from 1 species
CCUACGGGGUGCACCAGUGAGGAAUAUUGGAUAAUGGGCGGGAGCCUGAUCCAGCCAUGCCGCGUGCAGGAAGACUGCCCUAUGGGUUGUAAACUGCUUUUAUACGGGAAGAAACACUCCCUCGUGAGGGAAUUUGACAGUACCGUAAGAAUGAGGAUCGGCUAACUCCGUGCCAGCAGCCGCGGUAAUACGGAGGAUCCAAGCGUUAUCCGGAAUCAUUGGGUUUAAAGGGUCCGUAUGUGGACGAUUAAGUCAGAGGUGAAAUCUUGCAGCUCAACUGUAAAAUUGCCUUUGAUACUGGUUGUCUUGAGUUAUUAUGAAGUGGUUAGAAUAUGUAGUGUAGCGGUGAAAUGCAUAGAUAUUACAUAGAAUACCAAUUGCGAAGGCAGAUCACUAAUAAUAUACUGACACUGUUGGACGAAAGCGUGGGUAGCGAACAGGAUUAGAUACCCUGGUAGUC